rnacentral:rRNA from 1 species
UACGUAGGGGGCGAGCGUUGUCCGGAAUCAUUGGGCGUAAAGAGCGCGUAGGCGGCUUGGCAAGUCUGACGUGAAAGCCCGCGGCUCAACCGCGGAUUGUCGUUGGAAACUGCCUCGCUAGAGUCCGGAAGGGGAGAGCGGAAUUCCUGGUGUAGCGGUGGAAUGCGCAGAUAUCAGGAAGAACACCCGUGGCGAAGGCGGCUCUCUGGGACGGUACUGACGCUGAGACGCGAAAGCGUGGGGAGCGAACAGG